UACGUAGGGGGCAAGCGUUGUCCGGAUUUAUUGGGCGUAAAGAGCGUGUAGGCGGCCAUGUAGGUCCGUUGUGAAAACUCGAGGCUCAACCUCGAGACGCCGAUGGAAACCAUAUGGCUAGAGUCCGGAAGAGGAGAGUGGAAUUCCUGGUGUAGCGGUGAAAUGCGCAGAUAUCAGGAAGAACACCUGUGGCUAAGGCGGCUCUCUAGUACGGUACUGACGCUGAGACGCGAAAGCGUGGGGAGCGAACAGG
rnacentral:rRNA from 1 species